rnacentral:tRNA from 1 species
UUCCUGGUAGUCCAGUGGUUAAGACUCCACACUCCCAAUGAAGAGGGCCUGGGUUUGAUCCCUGGUCAGGAAA